UUGGUAGUCAACCUAAUCCUUCUCUCCCACAUGUUCUUUCUGUGAAGAUUGGAUUUAGCUAUCUCCUGAUUGUAACAAUGAAGGUACUCCAUAAAGGAAACAUUUACCAAUCCUCAGCAGCUGUUCAGUCUUGGAGGAGGAAAUACUAAAUGGACCUUCUUCCUCUUUUGUGAGUCUGUUCUCCCCACUUGUCUGAUGGCAGCUUUGCAAACAUCCUGACACUCCAGGCUUGCCAGGAAUAUCUGAAGUGAUGCAUGUAGAAGCAUUUGACCUGCACCUGCAAAGGAUAUACCCUCAAUGUUAUCAAAAUAUGUGUAUUAAAGAUAGUAAUUAUUGAAAAA